rnacentral:rRNA from 1 species
AAUAUGGCCCCCUAUGGGGGGGGCCGGAAGGAUCAUUAGUGAAUUGCUCUCUGAGCUUUAAACUACAUCCAUCUACACCUGUGAACUGUUGAUUGACAUUCGUCAAUUACUUUUACAAACAUUGUGUAAUGAACGUUAUGUUAUUAUAAUAAAAAAUAACUUUCAACAACGGAUCUCUUGGCUCUCGCAUCGAUGAAGAACGCAGCGAAACGCGAUAGGUAAUGUGAAUUGCAGAAUUCAGUGAAUCAUCGAAUCUUUGAACGCACCUUGCGCUCUCUGGUAUUCCGGAGAGCAUGCCUGUUUGAGUAUCAUAAAAACACAACCAUUAGGGUUUCUUAAUGGAUUGGAUUUGAGCGUUGCCAUUAGCCUGGCUCGCUUUAAAAGAGUUAGCGUGUUUAACUUGUCGAUCUGGCGUAAUAAGUUUCGCUGGUGUAGACUUGAGAAGUACGCUUCUAAUCGUCUUCGGACAACUUUUUUACUUCGAUCUCAAAUCAGGUAGGGCUACCCGCUGAACUUAAGCAACAAAAGAAGAGAGGAAAGAAAACUCCCUUA